GGGAAACGCCCACGGGGGCGGGUCCCGGCUGCUCCCUAAAGACUAUAAAGUGCACAGCUUGCUGGAAUUGCUUCUGCAUCCAAACGGCUUCAUAAAGAAUGUCUAAAGGAUGUCUUCCAUGAAGAAAGAAAUUAACACCAGAAAUAAGAAACUGGACACAAACAGUUGUACAUACAGUAUGAGCUCUUCCCUUUGAUCCUGGAAUAAAGUACAGACAAGUUCUUGCUAACUAACCAAGGAUGGCCUCAAAUCUGUGAACCUCCCCACCUCAGCCUUCCAAGUGGCUGGAAUGACUGGUGUAUGCCACCAUAGCAGGCUCUUCUCACUUUGAGAUAACAAAAAAGCACUAUAAUCACUCUAGUUUUCAAAGUUUUGAAUUUCAAGAUUUGUAAAUCAAUGUAUCCAACUCCAUUAAAAUUUAGAGCUGCUUAGGUCUACAGAGCGAGGAAGCCAAUAAAGGGGAGAAGGGAACUCUUGUUCUUUUUCUCUCUCUUCCUCCUAGGCUUCUCUUGAACCUUCCAUCUUCCCAACCAUGAUUGUGAAUCUUCCUUCAAUGUGAGAACAAGGAAAACAGAUUAGCUGGGGCAGGAAAGUUUUUAUUUGGUUAACUGUUUUAAGUUGCUUUCUGUCUUUCACAAGUGUGCAAAUGCUGAAAGUUAACACUGUCUCCUGAAGAAGUUUUAUUUCUAUUUUUUUGGAAGUCAAACCCUACUCACCUGUCAUCUCAGAUGGUCUCUAGCCUACAGUCCACUUAAAUGUACUGUAUUUCAAUGAUAAACUUAUUUCUUCCUCUGCCACAGAGAUAUAUACGUAUAUAUGCACACACACACACACACACACAC